rfam:Sugiyamaella lignohabitans strain CBS 10342 chromosome A, complete sequence.
AGGUUCGGACAUAUCUAGACUAAAACAAGAUUUCCCGUCCGAUCAAUCAUAUUUAAGCCUCUAAGAGCCUUGAUCAGUAAUGCCGUGGGAGACCAGGCGUGAACAGAAGGUGCUGAACCUC